UACGGGGGGGGGCAAGCGUUGUUCGGAAUUACUGGGCGUAAAGGGCUCGUAGGCGGCCAACUAAGUCAGACGUGAAAUCCCUCGGCUCAACCGGGGAACUGCGUCUGAUACUGGAUGGCUUGAAUCCGGGAGAGGGAUGCGGAAUUCCAGGUGUAGCGGUGAAAUGCGUAGAUAUCUGGAGGAACACCGGUGACGAAGGCGGCAUCCUGGACCGGUAUUGACGCUGAGGAGCGAAAGCCAGGGGAGCAAACGGG
rnacentral:rRNA from 1 species